GGAGAGGGGAGAGGCAGCCCAAGGGCUCGGGACGGAUGAGGUCAGGGAGGGGCGGGCAGCGUCCAAACCACCCGCCAGGCUGCAGAUAUCUGAGGCCCUGCCUUACCAGCUUCUGCAUCCGGGAUCUCCAAACGUCCAUGGGCUCUCUGAGUGCCACACCGCUGCGGCCCUGGCAGAGAAAUGGCAAGCUUUUGAGGGUGCAAAAGACCCCCUUCACUUACCAGGAGGAGCCCUCUCCAUCCCCCCUCCCCCCCAUUGACACAGACACACUUAUUUUGUAGACGUGCGCGCCGUGGCUGUCUUAUCAGGGACUGAGGCUUUGGGGCGCUUAUCAGCCCCGGCAGGCAAGUAGGCAGGCAGGCAGACGCCCAGCCCUGCAGCAGGCCCCAGCAGCUCUGCCCUUCCUGCCCUGGGUGGAGGGGAGCACAGGGAACCCAGGCCGGGUGCACUCUUCACAUGCCCCGCAGCAUUGGGGAGAAACCCAGCAGAAGGGACCAGCAGGCCCCCUUCCCAGAGCGGGCUAGGGAUGGAGCACCCCAGGGUGGGCUGGCUCCUCUCAGAAGGUUCCCGCAGGUUAGCCCGGCCCAGGAAGAGAGAGGACACGCUCCGGAGGCGUCAGACUGCACCCCCUGGCUAGCGAUGCCGCGGAGGGCAUCAGGUUGGGGAAUCCUGCAGCAGUCAGGUGGUUCAGGUCCUGAGAGUCCUUUCGGACACGUAAAAAGACGGCGUGUGCAAAAUUAAGAGGCGUACGAAAUGAUGCCUGGAGUGCAGAGGGCGAGAUUCGUUUUCUCCCAUCUGACCAGAACCCAACGGGGUCAUGAUCCCGUGAAGGUGGGUGGCAGAAGAUUCAGGACAGAAGAACGGAAGGGCUCCUCACACAGGACACGAAGGAGGCCAUUUGCGACCCUAACAACACGAGGUGGGGAUGGCUUUGAAAGGGGUUGGAGAAAUUCCUGGAGGAGGAGAAGGUGGCGAUCCGUGGCUCCUAGUCCUGAUGGCGAAGUCCAACCUCCAGUCUCCAAAGCAGUAAGCACCAGUUGCUGGGGAACAUGGGCGGGAGGGUGCUGUUGCACCAUGUCCUGCUUGUGUGUGUCCUAUGGGGCAGCCGGGCAGCCACUGUGGCCGUUGUGGCAACAGAGCACUGGACCAGAGAUGGACCCUGGGUCUGGCUCAGCCUCGGGGCUCUUCUGAUGGUCUUCGCAAUAUUUAACUUCCGUAUUUGUUAUUGUUUCCUCUCUUUAUGCCUGCAAUUCAGAGCCAGGAUGAUGCAACCGGAGGCGGGAGUGCCGCUUUCAACACCCACUGGACCUCCUGCAGCCACGGCGAUGAUAGCGGGUUCCACCCCCCCACACACACACACACACCCCACAGCCGUAAAUGUUGGCUGUGCUGUUGUUGUUUUUCAGGGGCUGAAAAUACGUUUUUUAUACCCACGUUCCAGAGGGGGCCAUGAAAACCAGCAGAGGUCAGUUGAACCAAGCAAGGCUGGAGUGGCGAAGUUUGCAACCCUUCCCAUCACACAGAACCCUCCAUUCAGGAGCGACAUUGAGAGAGAGCUCAGUGACAGGUGAAAGACUGCAGGAUGAGAUACAGAGCGACAUGCACCCGGGAGAAGACGUGCAGCUUCAGCGGAAUGGAGGCCGGGUUGUUCAGACAGCACGGAUCUGAAAUGCACACGAAAUCUGAACUUUUGGGAGUAUUCAGUUAGAGUCAGGGGUUGAAUCCUGUACUAUAUGCAAAAGGGGGCCGCGGGGCUCCUGUUCCUUUAAUAAUCAUGUAGAAAAGGGAAUUUCAAUGGUUGUGUGGCUACGACAGGCUACAUCUGAUGAAGUCAAAUUGAUAAAUAAACCCCCCUCUUCUACUUUAA